rnacentral:rRNA from 1 species
UACAGAGGGGGCCAGCGUUAUUCGGAAUUAUUGGGCGUAAAGGGCGCGUAGGCGGCUUUGCGUGUCUUUCGUGAAAUCCCUCGGCUUAACUGAGGACGUGCGGAAGAAACUGCAGAGCUGGAGUCCGGGAGAGGGGGGUGGAAUUCCCAGUGUAGCGGUGAAAUGCGUAGAUAUUGGGAGGAACACCGGUGGCGAAGGCGGCCCCCUGGACCGGUACUGACGCUGAGGCGCGAAAGCGUGGGUAGCAAACAGG